rnacentral:rRNA from 1 species
CUACGGGCCGCUGCAGUGAGGAAUAUUGCACAAUGGGGGGAACCCUGAUGCAGCAACGCCGCGUGGAGGAUGACGCAUUUCGGUGUGUAAACUCCUUUUAUAUGUCAAGAAAAUGACGGUAGCAUAUGAAUAAGCACCGGCUAACUCCGUGCCAGCAGCCGCGGUAAUACGGAGGGUGCAAGCGUGACUCGGAAUCACUGGGCGUAAAGGACGCGUAGGCGGGUUGGAAAGUCAGGUGUGAAAUCCUACAGCUUAACUGUAGAACUGCACUUGAAACUUCUAAUCUAGAGUAUGGGAGGGGGAGAUGGAAUUAGUGGUGUAGGGGUAACAUCCGUAGAUAUCACUAGGAAUACCUAAAGCGAAGGCGAUCUCCUGGAACAUUACUGACGCUAAGGCGUGAAAGCGUGGGGAGCAAACAGGAUUAGAUACCCUGGUAGUC